rnacentral:rRNA from 1 species
UACGUAGGGGGGCUAGCGUUGUCCGGAAUCAUUGGGCGUAAAGCGCGCGUAGGCGGCCAGAUAAGUCCGGUGUGAAAGUCACAGGCUCAACCUGUGAAUGCCGCUGGAAACUGUCUGGCUAGAGUCCGGAAGGGGCGAGUGGAAUUCCUGGUGUAGCGGUGAAAUGCGCAGAUAUCAGGAGGAACACCGGUGGCGAAGGCGGGUCUCUGGGCAACAACUGACGCUGAGGAGCGAAAGCGUGGGGAGCGAACAGG